rnacentral:ribozyme from 1 species
UGCCCAGCAACUCCUAUCCCUACCUCCUCGUGGUACUGGCCGGGGUACGAGUAACCUUGGGGAAGAUCGGGUAACCAACCCGGUGGGAACUUUGGUCGUAUGCUGACAGGGAAGG